GCCAUUUUAUUUAGAGUUUGAAUAAGCUUUAUACAUUUAUUAUAAAGCCCACAUGCAUGCAAAAUAGAUUUUGUAUGGAGAGGCUGGUUGGUGUUGUGAGAGAAAGGUUGUUAGCCGUCGUGAGUGGAGGUGAUUGUCUUAGAUUUAUGGGUCUGUGAUGGUGAGAAAGAGGGCUAUCAUUUUGGUGGUUUUGGGGAAUAAUGGAAGCUGAUUUCAGUGGGGGUUAAUGUUGGUGUGGAAGCUGGUCUAUCAUGGAUAAUGGAGGAGAGGUUGUGGCAGAUGAUCGAUGAUGGUGGAUGCGGGUAUGGAGCUGUGGUGCUGUUUUUGGGUUUUUGAAGGGGUAAUUGGUGGUGUUGGUUUCAGCAGCUGCUAUGUUUGUCGAUGGAUGAGGUCUAGGAGAGCUAUAUUGUGGUGGUUGUCACGGGUGGAAGAAAGAGCUGGUGUGGGCUAGUUUGAUAGUGAGAGGGAGAGGCACCGUAUGCAGUGCUACUACAGGUGGCUUUUGUUUCAGAGGAAAAAAAAUAAGGGAAAGGAGCGGCUAAGAAAACAAAAGGACUAGGUCUUUUUGUGUUGAUCAUAGUGAGGGAUAGUCAAUUGACGUGGUGUCUCUCUUGUACCUAAAGAGAAAGUGG
rnacentral:lncRNA from 1 species